AUUGAACGCUGGCGGCAGGCUUAACACAUGCAAGUCGAACGAGCGGCGGACGGGUGAGUAAUGUCUGGGAAACUGCCUGAUGGAGGGGGAAAACUACUGGAAACGGUAGCUAAUACCGCAUACCAUCGGAUGUGCCCAGAUGGGAUUAGCUAGUCGGUGGGGUAAUGGCUCACCUAGGCGACGAUCCCUAGCUGGUCUGCGAGGAUGACCAGCCAGACUGGAACUGAGACACGGUGCAGACUCCUACGGUAGGAAGCAGUGGGGAAUAGUGGACAAUGGGCGAAAGCAUGAGGCAGCCAUGCCGCGAGUGUGAAGAAGGCCUUCGGGUUGUAAAGCACUUUCAGCGAGGAGGCGUUACUCGCAGAAGAAGCACCGGCUAACUCCGUGCCAGCAGCCGCGGUAAUAC
rnacentral:rRNA from 1 species